rnacentral:tRNA from 1 species
GCCAAUGUGGUAUAAUGGUUUGAGUGUUGGACUAUGACUCUGGAGACCAGGUUUCGAAUCCCCACUUGGCCA